AGUUAAUGAUAGUUAUGAUUUACUAAUAGAAGUACUAAAUGUAGGAAUAUCAUGACUCAUGUCUUCAAAUAUUGUAGCGUGUAUGUCUGUCAAUUUUUCUCGUAAUUGAUACUGAGUUUUUAUUAAAUUCAUAUCGUUAUUUUACACCAAAGAAUCGAAAUGUUUUAUGCAUUUAUUUUAUGUAUUUAUUUUCAAAAUUCUAGUUGCAAGUACUGUUAUAACGAAAUCAUAUUUUCCGGCGUUUGGAACUGUCAGCCUUUAAAAUGACAAAUCGUUAUUGUGUUUUUAUAUCUAAUGUUUUGGCAGAAGAGUAUUCGAGUAUCAAUCAAUACAUUAUUUCUAUGCCCCACAUUUGAAGAAAACUAUUUAUUUUUAUGUUUGUUUUUAGAGUAAAUGUAUCUCUCUUUUCAAGGAAAAUUCUAAUCUUACACAUUUCCGCUUCUUUCGCUAUAUAUUUGUUUUCGUACUAAUUCUACUUCGUACUUAUAAUGAGAAUGCUCCUCGAGUAGGGAGCGAACCCACGAACUCCCGAUCGCUAGGCGGACACCUCAUCCACUACACCACCGCGAUAGUAUAUACGAAUGCCUACUGUAUAUUUAUUUUUGGCAUAGAAUUUACUUUAUUACACAGUGUACAUAGCUUUAGAAUUAAUUUUCAAUUGUAAACACAAACCUGAAAACUAUCACUCAAUUUCAGAGUGAACAGCAUUUGAUUGUGUAGCCCCACGAUAGACAAAGUUAUAAAGAAAUGGACGGACUUUAAGACGCACAAAAACAACCAUGUGUGAAUGAUGAGAUCUCAUCCAUCACAUCAGUUGAACAAAAGUUGGAAAUCCGCGAAACAGCGCAUGUGAGGCCCAGUCAUUUGAGCGGAUAGUGUUCCACUUCAUUGUUCCCUAGCUGUACAGUUGUUGGAGAAAACCCUGUAUUGUUAUGUUACAAAGAUAAUUAAAUAAAGGAGUAGAAUUUA